UACAGAGGGUGCGAGCGUUGUCCGGAAUCACUGGGCGUAAAGGGCGCGUAGGCGGCCUGGUAAGCGUGCGGUGAAAGCCCGGGGCUCAACCCCGGGUCGGCCGUGCGAACUGCGAGGCUGGAGCACUGUAGAGGCAGGUGGAAUUCCGGGUGUAGCGGUGGAAUGCGUAGAGAUCCGGAAGAACACCGGUGGUGAAGGCGGCCUGCUGGGCAGUGGCUGACGCUGAGGCGCGACAGCGUGGGGAGCAAACAGG
rnacentral:rRNA from 1 species